CCAAGCUUCUGUUUUGAAAGCCCCGAAGAUUAUAAGAUGCAAGGCUUUUGGGUGCUUUUAUUGGUCAACGCAUUUGCAAUUAAUUGCAAAUUGCGAAGAUGACAACUCUGGGCCACUUCUUGACCCCAAGGAUAUGGAAGCUAUCCAAGAAAAACUAGAGAAAAUGGACUUUCUAGAAAAAAUUCUGAGAACAAUAUUUGGGCUCAAGGACAAUGACGCAAGGAACUUUAAAAAAAAGUUUUGUUUCCUCUGUGUCCGAGGAAAACAAAAU